rnacentral:rRNA from 1 species
CUCAGAAACUUAAAGGAAGUUGACGGGGGCCCGCACAAGCGGAGGAACAUGUGGUUUAAUUCGAUGAUACGCGAGGAACCUUACCCGGGCUUGAAAUGCAUCUGACCGGCCUUGAAAGAGGCACUCCCUUCGGGGCAGAUGUGUAGGUGCUGCAUGGUUGUCGUCAGCUCGUGCCGUGAGGUGUCGGCUUAAGUGCCAUAACGAGCGCAACCCUCAUCAUUAGUUACCAUCAGGUAAGGCUGGGGACUCUAAUGAGACUGCCAUCGUAAGAUGUGAGGAAGGUGGGGAUGACGUCAAAUCAGCACGGCCCUUACGUCCGGGGCGACACACGUGUUACAAUGGGUGGUACAAAGGGCAGCUACCUGGCGACAGGAUGCUAAUCUCGAAAACCGCUCUCAGUUCGGAUCGGAGUCUGCAACUCGACUCCGUGAAGCUGGAUUCGCUAGUAAUCGCGCAUCAGCCACGGCGCGGUGAAUACGUUCCCGGGCCUU